rnacentral:rRNA from 1 species
AACCUACGGGAGGCAGCAGUGGGGGAUAUUGGACAAUGGGGGAAACCCUGAUCCAGCGACGCCGCGUGAGUGAAGAAGUAUUUUGGUAUGUAAAGCUCUGUCAGCAGGGAAGAAAGAAAUGACGGUACCUGACCAAGAAGCCCCGGCUAACUACGUGCCAGCAGCCGCGGUAAUACGUAGGGGGCAAGCGUUAUCCGGAUUUAUUGGGUUUAAAGGGUGCGCAGGCGGAGGUGCAAGUCAGCGGUCAAAUUGCGGGGCUCAACCCCGUACUGCCGUUGAAACUGCAGCCCUUGAGUGCGCGAGAA